rnacentral:rRNA from 1 species
GACGAACGCUGGCGGCGUGCUUAACACAUGCAAGUCGAACGGAAAGGCCCUGCUUUUGUGGGGUGCUCGAGUUGCGAACGGGUGAGUAACACGUGAGUAACCUGCCCUUGACUUUGGGAUAACUUCAUGAAACUGGGGCUAAUACCGGCUAGGAGCUCCCGCUGCAUGGUGGGGGUUGGAAAGUUUCGGCGGUUGGGGAGGGACUCGCGGCUUAUCAGCUUGUUGGGUGGGUAGUGGCUUACCAAGGCUUUGACGGGUAGCCGGCCUGAGCGGGGGACCGGCCACACUGGGACUGAGAUACGGCCCGGACUCCUACGGGAGGCAGCAGUGGGGAAUAUUGCACAAUGGGCGGAAGCCUGAUGCAGCAACGCCGCGUGCGGGAUGACGGCCUUCGGGUUGUAAACCGCUUUCGCCUGUGACGAAGCGUGAGUGACGGUAAUGGGUAAAGAAGCACCGGCUAACUACGUG